rnacentral:rRNA from 1 species
AUACGGGAGGCAGCAGUCGGGAAUUUUGGGCAAUGGGCGAAAGCCUGACCCAGCAACGCCGCGUGAAGGAUGAAAUCCCUCGGGAUGUAAACUUCGCAAGAACAGGAAGAAUAAGUAAGGGUUAAUAUCCCUUGCGAUGACGGUACUGUUUGUAAGCUCCGGCUAACUCCGUGCCAGCAGCCGCGGUAAUACGGGGGGAGCAAGCGUUGUUCGGAUUUACUGGGCGUAAAGGGCGCGUAGGCGGCCACCGCAAGUCGGUUGUGAAAUCUCUGGGCUUAACUCAGAAAGGUCAACCGAUACUGCGGGGCUAGAGUGCAGAAGGGGCAACUGGAAUUCUCGGUGUAGCGGUGAAAUGCGUAGAUAUCGAGAGGAACACCUGCGGCGAAGGCGGGUUGCUGGGCUGACACUGACGCUGAUGCGCGAAAGCUAGGGGAGCGAACGGGAUUAGAUACCCUGGUAGG